rnacentral:rRNA from 1 species
AGCGAACGCUGGCGGCGUGCCUAACACAUGCAAGUCGAACGUGAAAGGGAGCAAUCCCAAGUAAAGUGGCGUACGGGUGAGUAACACGUAGGUAAUCUACCCCAGAAUCUGGAAUAACCGGCCGAAAGGCUGGCUAAUACUGGAUAGAGCGACGGAAUCCGUAAUUGGGUUUUUCGGGGAAGGGAGCCUGUAAAAAGGCCUUCGUUCUGGGAUGAGCCUGCGUCCCAUCAGCUAGUUGGUGAGGUAAAAGCUUACCAAGGCAAUGACGGGUAGCUGGUCUGGGAGGACGAUCAGCCACACUGGGACUGAAACACGGUCCAGACUCCUACGGGAGGCAGCAGUGGGGAAUCUUGCGCAAUGGACGAAAGUCUGACGCAGCAACGCCGCGUGAGUGAAGAAGGCCUUCGGGUUGUAAAGCUCUGUCGAGUGGGACGAAAAUGCUUGGAGUUCACAGCUCCAGGAACUGACGGUACCACUAAAGGAAGCACCGGCUAACUCCGUG